rnacentral:rRNA from 1 species
CGCAUCUGUGCAUGCAGCAUAUCAAUAAGCGGAGGAAAAGAAACUAACAAGGAUUCCCCUAGUAACGGCGAGUGAAGCGGGAAGAGCUCAAAUUUGAAAUCUUAAAGGGUUUCCCUUUACGAAUUGUAGUUUAAAGAAGUGUUUUCUGUUGAGGUUUUGGUAAAAGUUCUUUGGAAUAGGACAUCAUAGAGGGUGAGAAUCCCGUAUUUGACCUUUACUUUCAACUUUGUGAUACACUUUCAAAGAGUCGGAUUGUUUGGGAAUGCAGUCCAAAAUGGGUGGUAAAUUUCAUCUAAAGCUAAAUAUUGGCGAGAGACCGAUAGCGAACAAGUACCGUGAGGGAAAGAUGAAAAGAACUUUGAAAAGAGAGUUAAACAGUACGUGAAAUUGUCAAAAGGGAAGCGUUUGACACCAGUGUUGUUUUUCUGAAAAUCAAUUAAAGAACUGUUUAUGCUAAGUUGUUUAGACUUUAUCAGCUGUACUGUUUAGUUUUGAGCUUCUCUUUAAUGCACUUUUCAGUUAACAAGUCAACAUCAAUUUCUUUUGCUGUAAAAAAGCUUGAGGAAGGUGGCUUGAGAUUCGUCUUAAGUGUUUAUAGCCCUCUUGCCUAUGCAGUCGGAGAGAUUGAGGUCUGCAGCGUAGAUCCUUCGGGGCUAAAUGCAUUUGUGCUAAGUUAUAGCAUUUUAUAGACAACUUGCUGACUAUGAUUUGUCUUGUAGCUUACUCGCUUAUGUUAUUUUACCUACGCUUAGGAUGUUGAAGAUGUAGCACAUCAU